GCAGCAAGCAAAGUUUUGAAGCUGCGUCGAAUUUGCUGAAACUAAGAAGUAGAAAGACUGUUUACAUUUCACCUCUGGACAAAGAAUGAUUGAUUACAUCUAAACAAUAAUAAUAAGGAAAAAAAGCUUGUGUCAGCUGUCUUCUCUGAGCAGCGGUCUUGUGAUCACCGGCCUCAGUAUAAUAAAGAUUUGACAGAACUACAGACCCAUCUGAGGCCUACCUGUUUUAAUUCAUGAUCACCCCGGACACUUCUACAACUAACCUGCUUGGUAAGUGUCUGUUGAUGCAGUCUGGGCACUAGUAUCUGUUGGCUUGCUGACUAUCACUGACGAUGAAGUACUUCUCCAAAUCUUGACCCUGUGUCUUCUGCCAUCAUUGUUCAGGGUAGUACUGCAAAGAACAGUCUCCAGGGUCUCCCUCCAACAUUUGCUUCCCGACCACAAUAUGCUACGUUUGCAUCACUGCUACAUGUGGGUUACCCUGAUACUGUGAAGAACACC